UUUGCGAUAAGCCUGGGAAACUGGGUCUAAUACCGGAUAUACCCUGCUGGUCGCAUGGCCUGGUGGGGGAAAGCUUUUGCGGUGUGGGAUGGGCCCGCGGCCUAUCAGCUUGUUGGUGAGGUUACGGCUCACCAAGGCGACCACGGGUAGCCGGCCUGAGAGGGUGACCGGCCACACUGGGACUGAGAUACGGCCCAGACUCCUACGGGAGGCAGCAGUGGGGAAUAUUGCACAAUGGGCGCAAGCCUGAUGCAGCGACGCCGCGUGGGGGAUGACGGCCUUCGGGUUGUAAACCUCUUUGCAGUGGGGACAAGCGCAAGUGACGGUACCUACAGAAGAAGGACCGGCCAACUACGUGCCAGCAGCCGCGGUUAUUC
rnacentral:rRNA from 1 species